rnacentral:rRNA from 1 species
GGUGGAAAGGGAUUUUGUACUGGUUUUAGAUGGGCUCACGGCCUAUCAGCUUGUUGGUGAGGUAACGGCUCACCAAGGCGACGACGGGUAGCCGGCCUGAGAGGGUGACCGGCCACACUGGGACUGAGACACGGCCCAGACUCCUACGGGAGGCAGCAGUGGGGAAUAUUGCACAAUGGGCGCAAGCCUGAUGCAGCGACGCCGCGUGAGGGAUGACGGCCUUCGGGUUGUAAACCUCUUUCAGCAGGGGAGAAGCGAAAGUGACGGUACCUGCAGAAGAAGCGCCGGCUAACUACGUGCCAGCAGCCGCGGUAAUACGUAGGGCGCGAGCGUUGUCCGGAAUUAUUGGGCGUAAAGAGCUUGUAGGCGGUUUGUCGCGUCUGCUGUGAAAGCCCGGGGCUUAACCCCGGGUUUGCAGUGGGUACGGGCAGACUAGAGUGCAGUAGGGGAGACUGGAAUUCCUGGUGUAGCGGUGAAAUGCGCAGAUAUCAGGAGGAACACCAAUGGCGAAGGCAGGUCUCUGGGCUGUAACUGACGCUGAGAAGCGAAAGCAUGGGGAGCAAACAGGAUUAGAUACCCUGGUAGUCCAUGCCGUAAACGUUGGGCACUAGGUGUGGGGAACAUUCCACGUUUUCCGCGCCGUAGCUAACGCAUUAAGUGCCCCGCCUGGGGAGUACGGCCGCAAGGCUAAAACUCAAAGAAAUUGACGGGGGCCCGCACAAGCGGCGGAGCAUGCGGAUUAAUUCGAUGCAACGCGAAGAACCUUACCAAGGCUUGACAUAUACUAGACCGCCUCAGAGAUGGGGUUUCCCUUCGGGGCUGGUAUACAGGUGGUGCAUGGUUGUCGUCAGCUCGUGUCGUGAGAUGUUGGGUUAAGUCCCGCAACGAGCGCAACCCUCGUUCUAUGUUGCCAGCACGUAAUGGUGGGGACUCAUAGGAGACUGCCGGGGUUAACUCGGAGGAAGGUGGGGAUGACGUCAAAUCAUCAUGCCCCUUAUGUCUUGGGCUUCACGCAUGCUACAAUGGCCGGUACAAAGGGUUGCGAUACUGUGA